CCCUUAGAUGUUCUGGGCCGCACGCGCGCUACACUGAUGCAUUCAACGAGUCUAAAACCUGCUCUGAUAGGGGUGGGUAAUCUUUUGAGUGUGCAUCGUGAUUGGGAUAGAUGAUUGCAAUUUUUCAUCUUCAACGUGGAAUGCCUAGUAAACGCAAGUCAUCAGCUUGCAUUGAUUACGUCCCUGCCCUUUGUACACACCGCCCGUCGCUCCUACCGAUUGAAUGAUCCGAUGAAUAUCAUGGAUUGAGGAUGCAAGUAGGUUCGCCUAUCUUCAUCUUCGAGAAGUGAAGUAAAUCUUAUCAUUUAGAGGAAGGAGAAGUCGUAACA
rnacentral:rRNA from 1 species